rnacentral:rRNA from 2 species
UUAUGGCUCAGGACGAACGCUGGCGGCGUGCCUAAUACAUGCAAGUCGAACGAACUCUGGUAUUGAUUGGUGCUUGCAUCAUGAUUUACAUUUGAGUGAGUGGCGAACUGGUGAGUAACACGUGGGAAACCUGCCCAGAAGCGGGGGAUAACACCUGGAAACAGAUGCUAAUACCGCAUAACAACUUGGACCGCAUGGUCCGAGUUUGAAAGAUGGCUUCGGCUAUCACUUUUGGAUGGUCCCGCGGCGUAUUAGCUAGAUGGUGAGGUAACGGCUCACCAUGGCAAUGAUACGUAGCCGACCUGAGAGGGUAAUCGGCCACAUUGGGACUGAGACACGGCCCAAACUCCUACGGGAGGCAGCAGUAGGGAAUCUUCCACAAUGGACGAAAGUCUGAUGGAGCAACGCCGCGUGAGUGAAGAAGGGUUUCGGCUCGUAAAACUCUGUUGUUAAAGAAGAACAUAUCUGAGAGUAACUGUUCAGGUAUUGACGGUAUUUAACCAGAAAGCCACGGCUAACUACGUGCCAGCAGCCGCGGUAAUACGUAGGUGGCAAGCGUUGUCCGGAUUUAUUGGGCGUAAAGCGAGCGCAGGCGGUUUUUUAAGUCUGAUGUGAAAGCCUUCGGCUCAACCGAU